GUGGGGAAUAUUGGACAAUGGGCGAAAGCCUGAUCCAGCCAUGCCGCGUGUGUGAAGAAGGUCUUCGGAUUGUAAAGCACUUUAAGUUGGGAGGAAGGGUAGUAACCUAAUACGUUGCUACUUUGACGUUACCGACAGAAUAAGCACCGGCUAACUUCGUGCCAGCAGCCGCGGUAAUACGAAGGGUGCAAGCGUUAAUCGGAAUUACUGGGCGUAAAGCGCGCGUAGGUGGUUUUGUAAGUUGGAGGUGAAAUCCCCGGGCUCAACCUGGGAACUGCCUCCAAAACUGCAUGACUAGAGUACGGUAGAGGGUAGUGGAAUUUCCUGUGUAGCGGUGAAAUGCGUAGAUAUAGGAAGGAACACCAGUGGCGAAGGCGACUACCUGGACUGAUACUGACACUGAGGUGCGAAAGCGUGGGGAGCAAACAGGAUUAGAUACCCUUGUAGUCC
rnacentral:rRNA from 1 species